AUGAUGAUGAAGAUGACACAGUUCAGAGAUAGCAGACUCAUCUCUUCAAAUUGCAAACACCUCUAUCACUUUCUCAAGCCAAAAUGCAGGUCUGUUGGGCCUAACACGAGUUGGGAGUCAGAGAGUCAUUCAACUAUCAGCCGGAUUCAUGCUUUUCUUCUCUUAUUUGAGUUGAAGACACCAUUUAGCUAUUGGAAUACAUACUAA